rnacentral:rRNA from 1 species
UAGGGAAUCUUCGGCAAUGGGGGGAACCCUGACCGAGCAACGCCGCGUGAGUGAAGAAGGUUUUCGGAUCGUAAAGCUCUGUUGUUAAGGAAGAACGAGUGUGAGAAUGGAAAGUUCAUGCUGUGACGGUACUUAACCAGAAAGGGACGGCUAACUACGUGCCAGCAGCCGCGGUAAUACGUAGGUCCCGAGCGUUUUCCGGAUUUAUUGGGCGUAAAGCGAGCGCAGGCGGUUAGAGAAGUCUGAAGUGAAAGGCAGUGGCUCAACCAUUGUAGGCUUUGGAAACUGUUUAACUUGAGUGCAGAAGGGGAGAGUGGAAUUCCAUGUGUAGCGGUGAAAGGCGUAGAUAUAUGGAGGAACACCGGUGGCGAAAGCGGCACUCUGGUCUGUAACUGACGCUGAGGCUCGAAAGCGUGGGGAGCGAACAGG